rnacentral:rRNA from 1 species
CCGCAUAACAACUUUAAACAUAAGUUUUAAGUUUGAAAGAUGCAAUUGCAUCACUCAAAGAUGAUCCCGCGUUGUAUUAGCUAGUUGGUGAGGUAAAGGCUCACCAAGGCGAUGAUACAUAGCCGACCUGAGAGGGUGAUCGGCCACAUUGGGACUGAGACACGGCCCAAACUCCUACGGGAGGCAGCAGUAGGGAAUCUUCGGCAAUGGACGAAAGUCUGACCGAGCAACGCCGCGUGAGUGAAGAAGGUUUUCGGAUCGUAAAACUCUGUUGGUAGAGAAGAACGUUGGUGAGAGUGGAAAGCUCAUCAAGUGACGGUAACUACCCAGAAAGGGACGGCUAACUACGUGCCAGCAGCCGCGGUAAUACGUAGGUCCCGAGCGUUGUCCGGAUUUAUUGGGCGUAAAGCGAGCGCAGGUGGUUUAUUAAGUCUGGUGUAAAAGGCAGUGGCUCAACCAUUGUAUGCAUUGGAAACUGGUAGACUUGAGUGCAGGAGAGGAGAGUGGAAUUCCAUGUGUAGCGGUGAAAUGCGUAGAUAUAUGGAGGAACACCGGUGGCGAAAGCGGCUCUCUGGCCUGUAACUGACACUGAGGCUCGAAAGCGUGGGGAGCAAACAGGAUUAGAUAUCCCUGGUAGUCCACGCCGUAACGAUGAGUGCUAGAUGUAGGGAGCUAUAAGUUCUCUGUAUCGCAGCUAACGCAAUAAGCACUCCGCCUGGGGAGUACGACCGCAAGGUUGAAACUCAAAGGAAUUGACGGGGGCCCGCACAAGCGGUGGAGCAUGUGGUUUAAUUCGAAGCAACGCGAAGAACCUUACCAGGUCUUGACAUACUCGUGCUAUUCCUAGAGAUAGGAAGUUCCUUCGGGACACGGGAUACAGGUGGUGCAUGGUUGUCGUCAGCUCGUGUCGUGAGAUGUUGGGUUAAGUCCCGCAACGAGCGCAACCCCUAUUGUUAGUUGCCAUCAUUAAGUUGGGCACUCUAACGAGACUGCCGGUGAUAAACCGGAGGAAGGUGGGGAUGACGUCAAAUCAUCAUGCCCCUUAUGACYUGGGCUACACACGUGCUACAAUGGAUGGUACAACGAGUCGCGAGACAGUGAUGUUUAGCUAAUCUCUU